rnacentral:rRNA from 1 species
AGGUCAAGUUAUUAAGGGCAAAGGGUGGAUGCCUUGGCACUAGGAGCCGAAGAAGGACGUGGUAAGCUGCGAAAAGCCACGGGGAACCGCAAGCAGGUUUUGAUCCGUGGAUAUCCGAAUGGGGAAACCCACUUGGGGUAAUGUCCAAGUAUCUAUUACUGAAUUCAUAGGUAAUAGAAGGUAGACCGGGGGAACUGAAACAUCUAAGUACCCCGAGGAAGAGAAAGAAAAAUCGAUUCCCUCAGUAGCGGCGAGCGAAAGGGGAAGAGCCCAAACCAAAGACUUAAGUUUUUGGGGUUGCGGACAUUCUCAUAAGAAGAUUGGUAAGGGUAGUUGAAGAGAGUUGGAAAACUCCACCGUAGAGGGUAAAAGUCCUGUAAGCGAAACCCUGAAGAUCUUUGAGGAUGAUCCAGAGUACCACGGGACACGUGAAACCCUGUGGGAAGCAGGGGGGACCACCCCCAAGGCUAAAUACUACCUAGUGACCGAUAGCGCAUAGUACCGUGAGGGAAAGGUGAAAAGAACCCCGGGAGGGGAGUGAAAAAGAACCUGAAACCUUUUGCCUACAAGCUGUGGAAGCACUUUAUAUGUGUGACCGCGUACUUUUUGUAGAACGGGCCAACGAGUUAUGGUAUGUAGCAAGGUUAAGUACUGAAGGUACGGAGCCGAAGGGAAACCGAGUCUUAAUAGGGCGACAAGUUACAUGCUAUAGACCCGAAACCGUGCGAUCUACCCAUGGGCAGGAUGAAGCGGAAGUAAAAUUUCGUGGAGGUCCGAACCAGUUGACGUUGAAAAGUCAUUGGAUGACCUGUGGGUAGCGGAGAAAUUCCAAUCGAGCUCGGAGAUAGCUGGUUCUCGCCGAAAUAGCUUUAGGGCUAGCCUUGAAAUGAGAGUGACGGAGGUAGAGCACUGAAUGGUCUAGGGGCCUUCACCGGUUACCAAAACCUAUCAAACUCCGAAUGCCGUUAACUUAUUUUCAGGAGUCAGACUACGAGUGAUAAGAUCCGUGGUCAAGAGGGAAAGAGCCCAGACCAUCAGCUAAGGUCCCAAAGUAUACGUUAAGUGGGAAAGGAUGUGGAGUUGCACAGACAACCAGGAUGUUGGCUUAGAAGCAGCCACUCAUUUAAAGAGUGCGUAAUAGCUCACUGGUCGAGUGAUUCUGCGCCGAAAAUGUCCGGGGCUCAAACGUAUCACCGAAGCUAUGGAUGCUGACGUAAUCAUUAGUACUUUUAUAGAAGAGAAAUUAAAGGACAUUAAGCCAAAACUAACCGAUAGGUUAGAAUAAAGUUUUGGCCAAAUACCUUAAGCUCAAACGUAUCUAUGAAGGUAGCAAUGAUUACGUCAGCGUGGUAGGCGAGCAUUCUAUGUGGGUUGAAGCUAUACCGAAAGGAGUAGUGGACUGCAUAGAAGAGAGAAUGUUGGCAUGAGUAACGAGAGGUAGGUGAGAAUCCUACCCGUCGAAAACCUAAGGUUUCCUGAGGAAGGUUCGUCCGCUCAGGGUUAGUCGGGACCUAAGCCGAGGCAGAAAUGCGUAGGCGAUGGACAACAGGUUGAGAUUCCUGUACCACCUAGAAUCGUUUGAGAGAUGGGGUGACACAGAAGGAUAGGUUGAGCCCACCGUUGGUUGAGUGGGUCUAAGCCAGUAGGGAGCUAAGACAGGCAAAUCCGUUUUAGCAACAUCCUGAGAGGUGAUGGGGAGCGAAAAACAAGUAGCGAAGCAACUGAUUCCACACUGUCGAGAAAAGCCUCUAUUGAGAAACUAGGUGCCCGUACCGCAAACCGACACAGGUAGGUGAGGAGAGAAUCCUAAGACGAGCGGGAGAACCAUUGUUAAGGAACUCGGCAAAAUGACCCCGUAACUUCGGGAGAAGGGGUGCCGAAGGGUGUGAAGGCUUUUGCGCUGUAAGCACACUUCGGUCGCAGAGAACAGGCCCAAGCGACUGUUUAGCAAAAACAUAGGUCUCUGCAAAGUCGAAAGACGACGUAUAGGGGCUGACGCCUGCCCGGUGCUGGAAGGUUAAGGGGAAGUGUUAGGGCAACCGAAGCACAGAACUUAAGCCCCAGUAAACGGCGGCCGUAACUAUAACGGUCCUAAGGUAGCGAAAUUCCUUGUCGGGUAAGUUCCGACCCGCACGAAAGGCGUAACGAUUUGGGCGCUGUCUCAACAAUGGACCCGGUGAAAUUGUAAUACCAGUGAAGAUGCUGGUUACCUGCGACAGGACGGAAAGACCCCGUGGAGCUUUACUGCAGCUUGACAUUGGAUUUUGGUACUAGAUGUACAGGAUAGGUGGGAGACUUAGAACCUAGGACGCCAGUCUUGGGGGAGUCGACGUUGGGAUACCACUCUUGUAGUACUGAAGUUCUAACCAUGAACCGUAAGCCGGUUUUGGGACACUGUCAGGCGGGCAGUUUGACUGGGGCGGUCGCCUCCUAAAAAGUAACGGAGGCGCUCAAAGGUUCCCUCAGCACGGUCGGAAAUCGUGCAAAGAGUGCAAAGGCAUAAGGGAGCUUGAUUGCGAGACCAACAAGUCGAGCAAGGACGAAAGUCGGACUUAGUGAUCCGGUGGUACCGAGUGGAAGGGCCAUCGCUCAACGGAUAAAAGCUACCCCGGGGAUAACAGGCUUAUCUCCCCCAAGAGUCCACAUCGACGGGGAGGUUUGGCACCUCGAUGUCGGCUCAUCACAUCCUGGGGCUGAAGUAGGUCCCAAGGGUUGGGCUGUUCGCCCAUUAAAGUGGUACGCGAGCUGGGUUCAGAACGUCGUGAGACAGUUCGGUCCCUAUCCGUCGCAGGCGUAGGAAAUUUGAGAGGAGCUGUCCUUAGUACGAGAGGACCGGGAUGGACGUACCGCUGGUGUACCAGUUGUCUUGCCAAAGGCACCGCUGGGUAGCUAUGUACGGAAGGGAUAAGUGCUGAAGGCAUCUAAGCACGAAGCCCCCCUCAAGAUAAGAUUUCCCAUCCGAAAGGAGUAAGACCCCAGAAAGACUAUCUGGUAGAUAGGUCGGAGGUGUAAGUGCAGUAAUGUAUUAAGCUGACCGAUACUAAUAGGUCGAGGACUUGACCAAUAUA